GAUCUGGAAGCUGGAAGACACUGUGGAUGAGCUGAAUGAAGAUUUCUUCUGGCUCAGUGCCCAGGCCCUGGAGCUGCAGAAAGAGGACACUGAGCCAGAGAGACUGUGCCCAGGGGAAGGCAACACCUUUGUGGUUGCUGCCGGCAUCUCACCCAGAGUAUGGCAGGAUGGCAAACUUGACCCAGCUGAACUGGACAGCCCAGGCAAAGAGAAGCUGGAAACUCCAGCCCUACAGAGUGAGCAGGCCUUGGUGCUGGAGGUGAGGAGGGUCCACCUGGCCCAGCAAAUUGAGAACCUGGAGUGGGAGCUGUCUCUACUCCUCCAGGCGGUAGCUGGCAAGGCUAGCCUCAACAGCCCUGAGUCCCACAGGACAGAGCAGUGGCCACCUGUGGGAGGUGCCUUUCCCACUAAGGAGACAACUAGAUGCUCCUGGCAGGUCUGAAGAGCUCCAUGCACUACUGCUUGCCCCCUGGGCUGUUGGUGGUGUGCCAGAGCUGCAGUGUGGGCUGGUGACGGCUGGUCCUGUGCGGAGCAUCUGGGCCACCGUCAGAGCCUAGUCCACUACACCUACUGGACUCUGCCUUUGUCCCUUUUGCAGUGGGGACAAAUAAAGUCAUGUGGUUUGAGGGA